CGACCCUCGAGCGCCCCCGCCGUCGCGGGGGACGCCCGGCGUUGGGGGAACGGCGCGCGCCCACGGGCGCGGCCGCCCCCCGAAAUACAGUGGCGACCCCGCCGCGCCUCCCACUGCGUAGUAGCGACCCCCAGGGGAAACCUCGCACCGGGAGCGCGGAGGCCGCGGUCACGCCGUAAAACGCCCAACCCUUCUGA
rnacentral:misc_RNA from 1 species